rnacentral:rRNA from 1 species
UACGGAGGAUGCAAGCGUUAUCCGGAUUUAUUGGGUUUAAAGGGUGCGCAGGUUGUUUGAUAAGUCAGUGGUGAAAGUCUGUCGCUUAACGGUAGGAUUGCCAUUGAUACUGUUAGACUUGAAUAUGGAUGAGGCAGGCGGAAUGUGUAGUGUAGCGGUGAAAUGCAUAGAUAUUACACAGAACACCGAUUGCUAAGGCAGCUUACUAAGCCAUAACUGACGCUCAAGCACGAAGGCGUGGGGAUCAAACA